rnacentral:lncRNA from 1 species
UUUCUUGUUCUUUCAGAUCAUGCUGGUGGAAGGGAUAAAGCAGGCAGUUCCUCUUAGGUACACAUUCCGAUCAAGGAAUGGAGGAUAUUGUAAUAGGCUAGUAAAUGGUUUAUGUCCCUAAAAUUCCAAGUAAAAAUAUAUUUGAAAAAAAAAGAUGCAGGUUUAUCUACAAUUCGCAAGAAGUAUUUUUGAAGGCUUGUGGAUGGACACAAGAGACCUACGAGCAACACAUGGCCUAUUCAUACUUCUUUCAGAUCUCCAUUUGCAUGUUCAUGCAGAGAACUGUGGAUUUUGCAUGGGAGGAUCAAGGUGUGAAGGAGAGGAACACAGGUUGACAGCAUUAAUGAAGUUGUCAUGCUUCACUGGCGUUUGUCAAGAUAAUUCCUCAAGCUCUGACUACAUCAGCCUCUGUUGUGAAAGAAAUGAAGCAACAGAAGUGCACUAUGGAGGUGGGCGAGCAAAAGGACCACCUUCUCUUAUAUCAACCCUAUCCAGGAUUUAAGAACAGCCAAAGAAGCUUUGCUCGUGGUUCCUUCUUUCUUCUUUCAUAUCAGAGUGUUGAACAAUUUAAUAUAAUGGACCUAUGUAAUAUAUAAAUAAAAGUCAAACAAAUUAA